AUUUAUAUAGUUUAAUUAAAAUAUUACAUUUUCACUGUAAAGAUAAUUUUUUUAAUUUAUAAAUA
rnacentral:tRNA from 1 species